AUUCCUUGUCAUUGUUCAGCGAGCUAAUCAAAAAUACAGACAACUGCUCCCGGCUUUCUAGGGAGAGGGUCUGCGCGACGUGCUCCCUUCGAGAGCGCUCGCUACCUGUUGAGGCUGCAAAAUGGGGCGACAUCAAGUGAGCCUCAGAACAAAAACCCCUCGGAAUUGCUCGAGUUGAAACACCUGUGUUCCCCCUUUUGGGAAAGCCUGUGCUUUAGGCAGGCCUUUGCUACAAGGCUUGACACUCGAUGUGUGCGCAUUAAGCCUCCAAUUGCCUCCAAGCUGACAGUUGUUCGGGAAUAUUAACCACUUGCCUGCCAAGCGUUCAGGAUGGAGCUGGAUUGAGAACAUGAUUCUGCAUUUUCCAAAGUUAGAGUGUUCUCCCAAAGGAAGAUAUUGAUGAAUGAAUGCUCCAAGUGAUUGCAGAUAUACAGAUGAUAUGAAAGGACAGGAGAAGAAUCCUUCAGUAGGAGAAAACUAGAACCAGAAGGAAUAUUGGGGAUUUUCUAAAGCUCAUCCCCUUUGUCCAACAGAUGGGGAAACUGAGACUCAAUAAGGGUCUCCAUUCUGGUAUGGUACCAGACUAUUGGAAUAUGAAAACAAAAAUGGCGCCGCCUCUGCCUUCGAAGAACUUGCACACUCUCUUGGUUUUCAGCGUGCACCAUUGGGGAGAGUUCAUCUAUCAUUAGUUCUACUAAAGUCUAGACCUCCUUUUAACAUAUUGGAC
rnacentral:lncRNA from 1 species